AAAGACAAUUUUUAAAACCAAAGACUCCAAAAUCUUUAUGGAACUAAUGAGAGAUCUAGAGAGAUGAGAACUUACUGCCUAAGGCCUUGGCUAACGUAUUCGUAUGAGCUAAGGACAGCGUGGUGAGUUCCGGUUCCCAUAGGAGCUUGGAAGACAGAGUCAACCAUACCCUUGCCUCUGGUGAUGUCUUGUUGAUCAUCAGAAGUGUCGUAGGCAAGACCUCUCCAUCUGUCUCCAUCGGUUUGUUUGUCUUCUUUCACAGCCAACACCUUGAAUGAUCCGUUGCUCUUCUUGUUGCUCUGUGCGAAUCUCGACACAGUUACAACUUUCUUUCCCAAGAAGGUUGAAGCUGGGGCUGAUACAGCUCCUGAUCCUGACCCGUUCAAGCUCAAC
rnacentral:sRNA from 1 species